UACAGAGGGGGCAAGCGUUGUUCGGAAUUACUGGGCGUAAAGGGCGCGUAGGCGGCCUGUUAAGUCGAACGUGAAAUCCCCGGGCUCAACCCGGGAACUGCGUCCGAUACUGGCAGGCUUGAAUUCGGGAGAGGGAUGUGGAAUUCCAGGUGUAGCGGUGAAAUUCGUAGAUAUUGGGUGGAACACCGGUGGCGAAGGCGGCUCACUGGUCCGGUUCUGACGCUGAGGCGCGAAAGCGUGGGGAGCAAACAGG
rnacentral:rRNA from 1 species